UCUAUCGACAUGGCUUGGAGAAGAUACACGUUGUCUUGAUUUUAAUUUUGAAAAUAAAUAGUGUUUUUUUUCUAAAACUAUUAUAUAUUCUAAGUAAUAUUAACGUCAUGGAUUAGACAGAGGAUUCAAAACAAUAACUCAUAAAAAUGUGGCUAUUUCAAUUAAGGGAUCAAAACUAUUUUGAAGCGUACUAUCAAAAUACGAACUUGCCCCAUACACUAUAAAGAGUCAUACACUAUAAAGAGUCAGGAAGAGAAAUUCCUAAAGGUCAUUAAGACGAUCCAAACAAUGUUGAAGUGUGCUAUCAAAGUACAAACUUGCCACAGUUAUGGGAGAGAAGUUCCUAAGUCAAGCCGUAAUUUAGUGGAGAAGCAUUGACUAGCUUAUCCCCAGGCAGCUUGGCGGUCGGCGUGGCCGGCGGGGGCGAAGGCGGCGCUGGCGCGGGCGGCUCCGGCGAGGCUGGCCGACUGCGGGGCCAGAAGUCCAUCUUGAAGCCGCGCUGCGCGUCGGGCUGCAGC